AAGGGAAAAUAGGUGGAAAUUCAAAAAUCAAGUGAAAAAAGGUGGUGAGUCAAUUGUUUCGGGUAAGAGACUGCACCCGAGGGCGGAAGAUAGGAGUAUUUCUACUCCUAAUACUGCUCGGAGAAUUCCAUAGUUAGCUGAUUUUGACAAGGACU
rnacentral:sRNA from 10 species